AAAGAUAAAGAAAUGGAUGAACACACAUUUUCAUACACGAGCUGCCACCCUGGCUUCUAUUUGGAGCGCAGUGGUGAUAUCUGAAGCAGCCAGUGAAAAUAAACCCCUUGGACUUGGACCCGCAGCUACCAUGGCAUAUUUUUAAAUGGUUACAGAAAGAGUCUGAGCAUCCAGUAGGGCAGUGUCCAAGAUUCUUGGGCUGCUCCCUGGAUGGCACUUGAGGUCCACUAGACAGGUAGACAAGACCUGUCUCACCAAGCUAGGUCAAGAAAAGACAAGGGCAGACAGAAGAGCCCCUUCGGGGAUUACCAUGCUCUUAAAGAGAAGAAUUAACUUCACUACAAACAUUUGAGGGCAGACUUUCAGAAAAAAAAAAAAGACUUGUUUUUAAACCGAAGAACUGAGGAAACUUUCCAAACAGAAAUAGGAGAGCACAGCAUCAUCAUAAAGUCCAAGGGACUUACCCCGAAUUGCACAGUAGAGUUCACGACCAUGCCUGGUGUGAUUUCACCCUACCCUUAACUCCCACUUACCACUAGAAUGUUUGGUGUAAAUCCCAGGGAGGAUGAAAUGGAUGGUAUAAAGGCAAACUUUUAUGAGAUUUAUGACUUAGUCCAAAAUUAGAGAAAUUAGAAACUGCAUGGAAAAGCCCAACAGGGCUCGGUCACUUAAGUAAACACUUUACAAAAUUACACACACCGCCUGGAGGUCUCCGUGCUAACCAAAAAAAUCAGCUUCUUUCUGGGUUUGCAAAAUUGUUCUUGAUGGUGCUGUCUGAUGGCUAGGCAGUGAGUUAUCUGCAGGAGAGCUGUCAUUUUACAGGAAGAAGGAGCUGAUGAGGAACAAGAGUGGGGUAGGGACAGAGUAGCAGAGAAGCACACUGACCCCAGGAAAGUGUGUAAAAUGUCGUGUGAGAUAACAGGGGGUACCUGGAGCACAGGGAUCAGAGGGCCGGUGUGUGGUCUGCAGCCACGGCUGUUCUUUUCUCUUCAUCCUUCAUACCAGAUUGUUAAUCUCCUCAGAAGGCUGCCCUUUCCCUCCUCAUACACCCAACCCAACCUGGAAUCACACAGAGCAAGAAAGUUGGGGAGCGACCCGCAAACAUAUUUACUUCUGAGGCAUUUCACCUAUCUCUUUGCAAAGUGUAGAUGUUUAAAACUCAUUUCCAGCCAGUUGAGACUUCGAUGAUGAUGUGUGCUCAAGACGUGUGGGGGUUAAUUAGGCAAGUAUGAAUCACAAUGUUACCCCUUUGUAUCUUCUAACUUCCUCCAGUGCCUUGAAGUAUGUUUUGACAGAGGCAAGCUAAAUUACAUAUGCUUCAGAUCAUACACAUUCAACCAGUGCUAUAUGCAAAGUAAGUAUUUAUUGGAUUCAAAAAUAACUGAACAGGAUUCUUAAACCAAAUACAUAAAUGGUUAUGUGGUUAGAGUGCUACAAUUAAAGCAAGUAAACUGAUGUCUCAAAUGGUACCCAUGCAGACCUGGGUUCUUGUCCCCAGCACCUAAGCAAAAAACUAGGCUGAGCUUAAACUGUGGGUGGAUCCUUGAAGCUUUUGGGCCAGACAGUCUAGCUGAAUCAAUGGGCUUCAGGUUCAAUGAGGGACUCAAAGAAAGAUGAAAAACAUGAGGGAAAUACACUUGUGGUCAACCUCAGUCUGCAUGUGCAAGUAAAUAAGAACAGUAAGAAAUAUGUAUAUCACACACACGUGAGCAUGCAUAAACACACACACACAAAUACAUACAUAUACACUCACACACACACCAAAAACAAAUAUGAGUAUUAAAAAUGCUUUCAGUAGAAUGUUAUCAAGUCUCUACCAAUGUGAAAUGGAGAAUAACCCUUGAAAGGCUUCCUAAAGCUGAGACAGCACUUCAAUUGGUACAGUUUAGGUGGAGAGUGAGAGUUUCUUCAGGGGAACACUGUUGCACCAUCAGGAAAAUGCACACACACACACACACACACACACACACACACACACACGCACACACCACAUAUUGAUGGAAGGAGAAGAUUAUGAAUUAAAAGGCAAGUUGAUUGCAUAAUCAAGGCAAAUAAGUGUAUAAGGGGGUGUGUUUAAAUGCACGAAGUCUAGUACAAGAUAAUCAGGAUUCUACUUCUAGCCCUGAGCUGAGUGACCUUGGACAAGUCCUGAGACAUUAAACCUCAGGGUCUAUGUAAAAAUCAGAACACAAACAGGGACCAUUCGGUUAGUCCAUAUGUUAGCAGUGGUUUAUAAUGAGGUCUGUUUGGACUAUAUAGGAAAGGUGAGGAGAUUGCACACCAUAAUGCUCUGUGUCGGUGGGGGUGGGGCUUGGGUGGAGUCAUAUCAUCUGCCUUUCCCGAGAUGACUCCAGGCAGGUCUGAAGCCCACAACCUCUCAUGAUAAGCAAAAGAUUCAUCUGGGAGACUCCCUUUUCUGGUGUUGGCAGCACUAUAGAGCUGGGCCUAGAUACAAAUCGUGUUUGUUAUCCCAAGGACACUCCUGGAGAAACAGUUUUUAGUGCGGAUUCUCCUGGAGGACCUCCUGCAGGCAAACGGCUGGGAUGGUUACCCCUGUUUUAUGGAGUGACAGCAGAACCUCCCUUCCUAUUUCCAGUGUGUGUGCUUCAUGAGGCAGUGAGCCCUGUCUUCCAUACCUCGGUUGCAAAACCAAAGGGCACUUGCCAUUUGAAAAGGCCUUCAGAGAAAGCGUCCGUGUGGUCUGUGCCCUCUGAUGCCAACUGCCAGCACAUUGGUGGACUGGCACCUUUCGGUUCCCUUCCCUUUCCAGGAUAGCAGCACUUCCUACUGGAAGGGGUGGAGUGAGAACUGAUACCAACUUAACGUCUCCCUUCCUGAGAGGCCUGGCAGGAUCUCUCCCGCCUUUGUGAUUAGAAAGGAAGCAUUCACAAAGAUGGUUAUGCGAUCACGGAAUGAACCUUGGCUCCAGAGGACUUCCUGGAUUCCUAGUUUUGCGGGUUAUACUUCUGUGGUAGCAUUUUACGGGUUGGAGAGAUGGCUCGGUGGUUAUGAGUGUCGGCUGCUCUUUCAGGAUAACUGGGGUUCAACUCACAGUGCACCGUGCAGAGCAUCUUGCACUCACUUAACGACUUGGACUCCAGGGGGCUGCUACAGUAUUCUGACCUCCACAGCUUCUAAGCAUCUAAGUACCCUGUUUGUAUCACUCAUCUGAAAACGUGAUAGCCUUCUAACCCCUUUGCAAUGUACAAGAGCGCCGGGGCUUCCAACUGGACUCCGUCUAGAGAUCAUCAUCAUCAUCAUCAUCAUCAUCAUCAUCAUCACUACUCAAAAAGUCCAGUUGUAUGGGGCUUGAGCAACCUGACAGAGGACCAUACCCCUAAAGAAAAAUGACCAUCCCUUCCUCCGCACCCAUCAGCUGCCAAUAGCUGAUGGUAUCUCGUUUCUAACCUGGACUCAGAAUACAUAGUUCCAAGAAGUCAUUUGACCCUGUAAUUCUAACUGUGAAGGAAAAACAAGAGUUGUUGACAUAACUUCAAAGAUUUGGGAGGCGAUUGUGAUGUCCUAGACUUACUUGACAAAUUCCACCAGCUGGCAAGGAAGGAGAACCCACAGGGUUCACAAGGAAGUAGGGACAGCUCCUGGUCCUUGUGAUGGGGAAUAUUGGGGGCAGGAAGGGGGGGAGUAUUUUUCAGUGAGAGGAGCAAGGUGCACUUCGGCCGUUUGAGUCUGCCAUGACUCACAUGAGGAUGGGACACUGAACGAUUAGGCUUUUACAGAGCCCUCCAAGCCAGUCUGUUGCCUACCUCCCUUUUCCUCCCUCCCUCUCCUGAGGCAAUGAUGGCUUUCCCCAAGCUGAAUUUUACAUAAGGAACGGCUCUUUCACUCCUGCUGCUUCUUACCCAGAGAAUCCCUCCCAGCGGGGAAGAAAUCCAAGUUAUAUGCUGGGAGCUGUAUCUACCUACACCUGGACCACAGAACCCUGGUGCUUUCUUUCUGGGAAGCCCAUCUGCUUGUCUCAGAGUUCUCUUAGCCUAAGCAAAUGGAUGCCUUGUGAACCCUACCCAGGACUGCCCACUAAUUUCAGGAAAGAAAACAAAAACAAAACAAAACAACAACAACAACAACAACAACAACAACAAAACAAAAACCAGGCUCCAGAGGUGACCAAUCUUUCAAAAUAGCAAGUGUUUUGAAGCCAGAUCUAAACUGAGAAAGAAUAAGAAAAAGUAACCAGUGACACAACUGUCAACUCUAUAGCUGUUUUUGUUCAUGGGACCCCAUGUCCUUGUUAGCUGAAUGCUGCCCUCUCAGAGACAGAGACACAGAUCUGGAAGCUAUUUGAAGUUCAAAGGCACACACGGACUUCUGCCAACCAAAGCUGGAGGCAGCUAGAGGCUGGAGGAAGCACGUUAAUAAAUACAUCUGGAUAAAAAGCCUGAAAGCAUUUCUGCAGAGUUUCUGACUGAAAGUUCCCCACAAGAAAAUGGCUACAACAUUUUCUCUGAGUCCAACUCAGUUGGGUUGGGAACUGGACUGCUGUCACAGUUUCUGGAGUGUUCAGGAAAGGGUUUGUCCAGGGUCAGGAAAGAAGCAUCUGAAUGGUCCCUUAGCACAGAGCUUCUCAACCUGAGGAGUAUAAUCCCUCUGGGGGGAGUCAAACAAUCCUUUCAUGAGGGUCACCUAAGACCACUGUAAAACACAGACACUUACAUUAUGAUGUCUACCAGGAGCAAAAUUACAGUUAUAGAGUAGCAAUGAAAGUAAUUUAAUGGUUGGAGACCACCCAAGCCUGAGGAAAGUUGCAGCCUUAGGAAGGUUAUGAACCCCUGCCUUAGCACUUGGCUGAUUUUGAGGGUAGCAAAUGGGAUCGCUGUAUUCAAGUUACCCAGUCUCUGACUCCUUAACGCACUCAGCUGACUUCACGUCAUGCUCGGAUUGGGAGUUUCUGGUACAGUCGAUUCCGUUUCUCAUUUGACAGUUUCUCUCCCCUCCCAUACCUUUCCCUUCCCAAUACGCCUUUCCUGUUCUCUCUUCUUCCCUCCCCCAAUUUUUCUUUUGAUGUUUGCUGAUCAUCUCAGAGGUGAGUUUCAGCAAAGGUUGGAAUAAUACUUUACUCUAGAAUCCUUUUUUCCCCCUUUUGAUGAAGAUCCAGAGGGUUCUCCUGGUCAGGGGAAGGAAUCCAUUCCCCCAUGGCUCCUCCUGAGUUGUAGCCCUGAGUCAUAUCCCCAAGGACCUUGGCAAAUUCUCUUCCCUCUAAGACCCUGGGUUGAGAACCAGAGUAAAGGGUGGAGACAGUGUGCUAGUGGACACACCAAGACAGACAUUAAAAAGAGGGACCAUCCCCUCUGCUCCUACCCACACCUGAUGCCUCUUCCCUCUCCCCUUCCAAUCUCCUCUUCUACCCAGUUCUCUCCCUCCAUCUGUCCUCCAUGACCAGUCCAUUCCCCUUCUGAGUGAGACUCAAGCAUCCUUACUUAUGUCCUUCUUCCUGUCUUGAAACUCAUCCCAUGGACAAGCACCAAUCCCUGCCACUACUAAUGAUAUUCUGUUAUGCUUGCCAACAGGAGCAUGUUGUCCUCUGAGAGGAUCCACCCAGCAACUGACUCAGAGGGAUACAGACAUCAACAAUCAAACAGCAGAUGGAGCUUGGAAGACUAGGAGGAAGGAGGGCAUAGGAACCUCAUAGGAAGACCAACAGGGUCAACUAACCUGGACCCUGGGGGCUCUUGGAGACUGAACUACCAACCAAAGAACAUACACAGAUAGGCACAGGACCUAGGUCUCACACAUAUGUAGCAGAUGUGAAGCUUGGUCUUGAUGUGGGUCUUGAACAACUGGGACAGUGUCUAUCCCAAAAGCUAUUGUCUGCGUGUGGGCUAUGUUCUUCUAGCUGGGCUGCCUUGUCUGCCUUCAAUGGGAGAGGAAGUACCUAAACUCACAGAGACUUAAAGUGCCAGGGUGGGGUGAUACCCAGAGGCUCCCCACCUGCUCAGAGGAGAAGGGGAGGUGGGGAAGGGGGAAAGAUUGUGGGAAGGGUGACCUGGAGGGGGACAAUGAGCAGGAUGUAAAGUGAAAAAUAAAAAGGAAAAAUCAAG